rnacentral:tRNA from 1 species
GGGCGUGUAGCUCAGUUGGUAGAGCAGCUGACUCUUAAUCAGCGGGUCCGGAGUUCGAGCCUCCGCGCGCCCACCA